rnacentral:rRNA from 1 species
GACGAACGCUGGCGGCGUGCUUAACACAUGCAAGUCGAACGGAAAGGCCCUGCUUUUGUGGGGUGCUCGAGUGGCGAACGGGGGAGUAACACGUGAGUAACCGGCCCUUGACUUUGGGAGAACUUCAGGAAACUGGGGCUAAUAUCGGAUAGGAGCUCCUGCUGCAUGGUGGGGGUUGGAAAGUUUCGGCGGUUGGGGAUGGACUCGCGGCUUAUCAGCUUGUUGGUGGGGUAGUGGCUUACCAAGGCUUUGACGGGUAGCCGGCCUGAGAGGGUGAACGGCCACCUUGGGACUGCGGUACGGCCCAGACUCCUACGGGAGGCAGCAGUGGGGAGUAUUGCACAGUGGGCGGACGCCUGUUGCAGCAACGCCGCGUGCGGGAUGCCGGCCUUCGGGUUGUAAACCGCUUUCGCCUGUGACGAAGCGUGAGUGACGGUAAUGGGUAAAGAAGCACCGGCUAACUACGUG